AACGAACGCUGGCGGCAUGCCUAACACAUGCAAGUCGAACGAAGCCUUCGGGCUUAGUGGCGCACGGGUGCGCAACGCGUGGGAAUCUGCCCUUGGGUUCGGAAUAACAGUUAGAAAUGACUGCUAAUACCGAAUGAAUGUCUUCGGACCAAAGAUUUAUCGCCCAAGGAUGAGCCCGCGUCAGAUUAGCUAGUUGGUGAGGUAAAGGCUCACCAAGGCGACGAUCCGUAGCUGGUCUGAGAGGAUGAUCAGCCACACUGGGACUGAGACACGGCCCCAGACUCCUACGGGAGGCAGCAGUGGGGGAAUAAUUGGACAAUGGGCGAAAGCCUGAUCCAGCAAUGCCGCGUGAGUGAUGAAGGCCGUUAAGGGUUGUAAAGGCUC
rnacentral:rRNA from 1 species